GCCAGGUGUGGUGGUGUGUGCCUGUAGUCCCAGCUACUCAGGAGGCUGAGGUGGGAGGACUGCUUGAGCCCAGGACUUUGAGGCUGCAGUGAGCUGUGACUGCACCAUUGCACUUUAGCCUGGGCAACAGAGCAAGACCCUAUCUCUU
ensembl:misc_RNA Metazoa_SRP Metazoan signal recognition particle RNA